GCCACCCUAGCUCAGCUGGUAGAGCAGCUGAUUCGUAAUCAGCAGGUCGGCAGUUCAAGUCUGCUGGGUGGCU
rnacentral:tRNA from 1 species